rnacentral:tRNA from 1 species
GGAGUAGCGAAGUGGCUAAACGCGACGGACUGUAAAUCCGUUCCUUAGGGUUCAGUGGUUCGAAUCCACUCUCC